rnacentral:tRNA from 1 species
AGGGCAAUAGGUCAGUGGUAGAGCACAUGCUUAGCAUGCAUGGGGUCCUGGGAUCAAUCCCCAGUGCCUCUA